CUCCCUGUGGCCGAGUGGUUUAGGUGCAGCUCUGCAAAAGCUGAUACGUUGGUUCGAAUCCGACUAGGGAGUCUA
rnacentral:tRNA from 2 species